rnacentral:lncRNA from 1 species
CCCAGAUCUGUGUGUCUACCUUCUCUCCCUGGGCCACUUUCUCACUGUCUUCUUUCAGGGCCCUCAGAGCAGGGACAGUCAGGACUUCCGGCAAGCCAGUGACUGCCCCAUGUAGUACAGAUGCUGGGAGGUAACUGUGUAGCUCAGACAGGUCUAGGAGUGGAAAGAGGGUUCUGCUGGCCCAUCCUCUGACCCCUUCUCUACCACCUUCAAACUCUCUGACUCUGUGCCCCUACUCAGGGAGGUGGCUUUGGCCCAGAGGCUCAGGCCUGGUCUGAGAUAGGCCCAGUGGGUGGGGUCCUGGCCAGGUCUAGACGGUCUUCACUGUCAGGGAAGCCCCAGAAGCCACAUAGGUAUUAAGUGGGGGCAGGGCUCUCCAAAAGACCCCCCUGGAACUCUGUGCAGGGUAAGCCAGGGCAGGUGGGAGUGGGGGUAGUGCCAGGACUGGUCCCUGAGAACUGGGAUAUGUGAACCCUGAAUGAAUAGGAUAGGGGUUUUCAAGAACCACCUGUCUAUCUCCAUG